AUGGCCAUUGGAGAUGGCAGGACAGCCCUGUUCUGGGAGGAUCGCUGGCUUGGCGGCCAAUCCGUCCACGAGCUCGCGCCCAUGCUUCUCAAGUGCAUCCCCAAGCAACGCCAAAAAUCAAGAACGGUGGCGGAGGCCCUGGCCGGCAACAGCUGGGCGCGUGGCAUCCAUGGUCUGCUCGGCCUCCCAGAGAUUGGACAGUACCUUAAGCUCUGGCACUUAGUGCAGCAUGUCGAGUUGUCCAAUGAGCCGGACAGGCUGCUCUGGAGCUGGACAGCCAACGGCGUCUACACCGCCCAGUCUUGCUACCGGGCAACUUUCCAGGGUGCGACGGGCUGCCACUCCUGGAAGCUCAUUUGGAGGAGCUGGGCACCGCCCAAGGUGAAGUUCUUCCACUGGCUGGCAUGUCAAGAUCGCUGCUGGACCGCGGAGAGACUUGCACGUCGUGGCCUGCAACACCACCCGCGGUGCCUUCUGUGCGACCAGGAACCGGAGAUGAUCGGGCAUCUGAUGCUCACAUGCCCAUUCACUAAGCAGACAUGGCAUGAGGUCCUAUCUUGGCUGCGCUUGCCGGCGCCGGCGCCCGAGCACGACGGCUCGCUCAUGGAUUGGUGGCUGCGCGCAAAGGAAUUCACACCGCCAGCGCUUCGCAAGGCGCUCAAAUCCGUGGCACUUUUGGUGCCGUGGAUGAUUUGGAAGCAUAGAAAUGCGUGUGUUUUCGACCAUGUGAACCCAUGCUGA
rnacentral:rRNA from 1 species